rnacentral:lncRNA from 1 species
UUGGGGUCCAAAACUGUUUUGAUUUCACAUGAAGAAAUCAAACGAACGGGACUUUCUUCUUCAUGCGAUAAAUUAGUAAAAAGUACAUCGUCGUUUUGGUUCAAUGUAAAGUCAAACAUUGGUAGAGUAUGGGUAUCCGGUAUUCUUAUUGAUGUGUUCAGUAAAUAAACUCAUCAUAGAUACCAUUUUCCCUUAACAAGUUUGGUUUCCGCUCGGCUUUGGUAGAGAAUGUAUACACAUCAUCAUUUGAGCAUAACAAAAAAGAAAUUUUUGGCACGGAAGUAGUGUACAAUUCAAUAUAGCUGUUACUACCUCGGAUUCCACCUUGUUGGAAGCAGACGUAUCACUUGAAAUAUCAUAAAUUGAAACUAAUUCGUGUAUUUCGUGAACAAAAAAGGAAUUUUUGGCACGGAAGUAGUGUACAAUUCAAUAUAGCUGUUACUACCUCGGAUUCCACCUUGUUGGAAGCAGACGUAUCACUUGAAAUAUCAUAAAUUGAUACUAAUUCGUGUGUUUCGUGAAUUUUCUCUUUGCAUGAACUACACAUAAAAACCUCACUCUUCACAUUUCCAUUUGGCCCCUAUUCCGCCGCAAAAGUGACAAGAAAUUGGUACUUGUGGCUUUCCAAUACUGAUUGAUUU